AUGGCCCGUGGAGUCAGGCAUUCCUCCCCGCACGGCCACUGGGCAACCCAAGGGGCCCGCCCCACCCAACGAGGCCUCGCCAUCCCUCGGGGAGCCUCUAGGACCCGUCCCCUGGCUUUCGGUCUCUCUGGGCCGCGGAGGACCAGCUGGGCCCCUGUGCAGGACGUCCAAGAGACCUUCCUAGCCAGAGCUGUCCCAUCCCUGGGACGCCAGAGCCCUUCUGGACUGCUGGCCUCGCCCGCAUCUGCCGCCCACCCUCCACCAGCCCCUCGCACUGCCCUGCCCAGCCCAGCCCCGACAAGCCCUGGGAUGCUGCUCACACUGGUCCCCUGGCUCCAAAGACAACGCUGCCAUCCUCGCCUGCUCAUCCAGGAAGGAGCCGGCCUUCGGGCCUGGCGGCUGCCUGCUGAAGAGUACAAAGCCAAGAGCAGGAGACCCAAUGGCACAGCCAUUCUCCAGGCUCGCGGCUUCCACAUGCACGCCUCCAUCGGGGCACCCUGCUGGCAGGGCACAGCCCUGUCUCGGGACACCCACCAACCACCAGCUGGCCGCCCAGCCCCGGGACAGAGGUGGGCCCUCCCUGACCCUGCCUACCUCACCCUUGCCCCACGGCCUCAGCCUCGGGGACAUCAGCCCAAGACCUCUGGCCAACCUGCAGCCCAUGGCAUGGCAAGAGGCAGACCAUGGGGGGUGGGGUCACCAGGGACCUGGCGCCUUGGGAAUGCCGGCCCUCCCUCGCUCUCCUCCUUCAGUUCUGGCAGGCUGGUCCACAGGGGCUCCCACUGGCCCACUGGGCGAACGCAAGCACCAGGAAGGCCCCCCAGAGGACACACCCGUCCCCUGGCUUUCGGUCUCUCUGGGCCGCGGAGGACCAGCUGGGCCCCUGUGCAGGACGUCCAAGAGACCUUCCUAGCCAGAGCUGUCCCGUCCCUGGGACGCCAGAGCCCUUCUGGACUGCUGGCCUCGCCCGCAUCUGCCGCCCACCCUCCACCAGCCCCUCGCACUGCCCUGCCCAGCCCAGCCCCGACAAGCCCUGGGAUGCUGCUCACACUGGUCCCCUGGCUCCAAAGACAACGCUGCCAUCCUCGCCUGCUCAUCCAGGAAGGAGCCGGCCUUCGGGCCUGGCGGCUGCCUGCUGAAGAGUACAAAGCCAAGAGCAGGAGACCCAGUGGCACAGCCAUUCUCCAGGCUCACGGCUUCCUCAUUCACGCCUCCAUCGGGGCAACCCUGCUGGCAGGGCACAGCCCUGUCUCGGGACACCCACCAACCACCAGCUGGCCGCCCAGCCCCGGGACAGAGGUGGGCCCUCCCUGACCCUGCCUACCUCACCCUUGCCCCACGGCCUCAGCCUCGGGGACAUCAGCCCAAGACCUCUGGCCAACCUGCAGCCCAUGGCAUGGCAAGAGGCAGACCAUGGGGGGUGGGGUCACCAGGGAUCUGGCGCCUUGGGAAUGCCGGCCCUCCCUCGCUCUCCUCCUUCAGUUCUGGCAGGCUGGUCCACAGGGGCUCCCACUGGCCCACUGGGCGAAUGCAAGCACCAGGAGGGCCCCCCAGAGGACACACGGACGGCCCCCCUGGAUGCCUGGCCUCGCCCGCGAGGGUCACGGCACGGAGGACAUUGGACCUCAGCGUUCCAGACACGUAUUCAUCGUACACGACUCAUACGCCACCAGCAGUCAUCAUCGAUCCAAUACUGCCCCCCUCCGUCUUCCCUGAGGGCCACCCUCUGGGUCGACCCAUUCACCAAAGUGCCGCCAAGACGUCCACACCCUCUGGACCCUUCACAACCUCAACGCCGGCUCCUUCCCAGAAGACCCUCCCGACACCCACACAGCGCCCAACUCGCCCAACCCAAAGGCACAGACCGGACUCUUACCCACACUGCUUCCUUGGCCAUCUCCCCCACUGAAGGAAUCGUCUAGGGGUCUCACCAGGGAAACGGGCCCAAUCGGCUCGCCGGGGUCUGGUGUGCACCCCACCACACAGACGCGAAGCUGCCAGAAAGGAAAGAGACCCGUACGGCGACAGAGAGAGCCAGGCGAGAGACAAGAGGGACAGACCGAGGCAGAGCCACCGAGACAGAGAGUCAGGGACAGUGACAGAGAGACAGGGAAAGCGAGGAGGACCGCCACUGACUCGCCCUUUCUGCACUCAGCGGACUCAAGCGUCAGCCGGUUCUGCUCCUUCCCCGGGGUCCAGGUGAUUCUGCUACGAGCCCAAGGAGGCAGAACCUCAGGGCUUGGGGGUUGAAGGUCAGGCUGGGGCUGGGCUGCACUCAGUCCCUUAAACGGGACCACCGUUUCUUCACAAGGACACAGAUCCCUGCCAGGACAGAGUCCGGGCCCCCUUGAGCCAUCCAUCAGAUAACCUGCAUCCACCAGGCCGGUCUCGUGACACCUUCUUCCCUGCGCCCCGGUCUUCCCACUGAAGAGUCACUGGAUCAGGCUUCUCCAUCACCCAAGUCCAUCCCGGCCGGGACCCAAACAUUGACGACGGAGGUCCCUGGCCCCUGAAGGUCUCCAGCCCCUGAGCAAACGAGAUCGGGACUGGGUCCACUCCCAGCCCACUCCCAAAGGAGCCCAGCCCAGCCCACAGUGGACUCUGGAGGCUCUGCGACCUCAGGGGUCCAGACAGGGCGUUCCUCACUGGCCUGGCCUCAUCCUCUACCAGUCCCCACCACUGCCUCAUGGGGCUCCAACCAGACACCCACUCCGGGCUCCAUGCCUCUCAGGCCCACCAUGGCCUCCUUGAGAGGAAGCCAAGCCAGACGUGUGUGGAUGAGCUCAAGACCCGGCCACCUCCUGAACUGCUCACCCCUCCUUCCCCAUGGAGUGGGGCCCUCCGUCCCGCCUGAGCAGCCAUGUUCUCCUGGCUCAGUUUCCGGAGGACUUUGGACUCAGCGGCAUCAGCAUUGGAUCUCAGAGUUCCUGAUGUGUAUUCAUCAUACAAGACUCAUACACGCACCAGCAGUCAUCAUCGACCCGAUACCUUUCCUCUAUCCUCCCCUGUGUCUGUCUUCUUUGUGGAUCAAUUCUAGAAGGUGCUCCUUGAAGUAAACUCCUCUUCGCUAUUCACAAAACCUAAGCUAUGUCUUCUGCAUCCAUCCUCCUCGUGUCCACACUGCAGCCAACCUCUGCGACCAAGGCCACGUUCCUGAUGCUUACUUACAUUGCUGCUCCUCUGUCACACCCACUGUUGCACUUUCAGGGGCUUCCCCAGGGAAUGGCUCCACUCCUGUCAAGCCAGUCAUGACGUCACUGACAAGAGUCUAAGCAGCAUGUGAGGGGCAAUGAUCAAAGGUCAAAUCCCCUUCAACCUCCCUAACUGCUCGCCCCUCCGUCGCCACGGAGGGAGGAGUACUUAUCCUCCUGAAUAGCCAUGUGCUCUCCGCCACUCAUCAGGUCUGAGUGGCAGGUCGCCCUUGGCCAUGGGCUCUGUUUCAGCUUGGACCCCAAGGUAGGACCCAGGCCAGGACACCAAAGACCCUCGCCACAAUCACCCAAACCCAGACGGCAGCACGAGCCAUGUCUCACCUUGGGAUCUCUCCUGCCACCACCGCCAGAGGAGGGGUCUCGGCCCCAUGGAGCCUGGCCUGGCCUUCGGCUUCCACCCUACAAGGGACCCAAGAGACAAGGUGACACCCACAGUGAGACGCCAUCGACUGGGCUCCUCGGGCGGUCGGCGCUGCCCCGUUGGGCUCGAGGAUGGAAAGGCAGGAAGAGAAAGGCCCCGUUUCCUUGCGAGUGGACCUCAGAGUUCCAGACACACAUUAUUCGUCAUCGAUGCCUCAUACGCUGGCAUUGAUCAUCAUCGAUCCAGAAAAGGGGGACCUUCUCUUCCUUCGCCAUGGCCCGUGGAGUCAGGCAUUCCUCCCCGCACGGCCACUGGGCAACCCAAGGGGCCCGCCCCACCCAACGAGGCCUCGCCAUCCCUCGGGGGGCCUCUAGGACCCGUCCCCUGGCUUUCGGUCUCUCUGGGCCGCGGAGGACCAGCUGGGCCCCUGUGCAGGACGUCCAAGAGACCUUCCUAGCCAGAGCUGUCCCAUCCCUGGGACGCCAGAGCCCUUCUGGACUGCUGGCCUCGCCCGCAUCUGCCGCCCACCCUCCACCAGCCCCUCGCACUGCCCUGCCCAGCCCAGCCCCGACAAGCCCUGGGAUGCUGCUCACACUGGCCUUCUGGAUCCAGAGACAACGCUGCCAUCCUCGCCUGCUCAUCCAGGAAGGAGCCUGCCUUCGGGUCCGGCGGCUGCACACUGAGGAGUACAAAGCCAAGAGCAGGAGACCCAAUGGCACAGCCAUUCUCCAGGCUCGCGGCUUCCACACACACACCUGGCCAUAGCCUGGCAUGCGGCAUACCAUGGGGGUCACCAAGGACCUGGCAAAUGCCUUCACUCCCUUUCUCUCUAGAUUCAGUUCUCUGAUACUGCCGGACGGGUGCUCACAUUUUCCCAUUGGGCUAACACCAGGAAAACGCUGGAAUGCCCGUGCUCUGUCAGUCACCCUCGUCGUUUCCUGACCUCGGCCUAUUGGGUCACUGCUUUGUGGACAUUGAACCAGAUUCCUCCUUCAGUGGACCUCGGAGUUUCAGACAGGUUUUCAUCGUACAGGACGCAUAUGCCACCAGGAGUCAUCUUCAAUCCAAUACUGUCCCUCCUGCGUUCCUUUAGCUUGACCUUCUUUGUUGAUCAAUUUAUUAAAGGGCUGGGUAAGAUAUCAAUACCCUACCUGAACUUCCAGGGGUCCGUGGGAUGGGAAGGUCUCAUGAUACCUGUCACCAUGGACUGUGCAAUUUGGUCUUGCCUUUACUCCCUCUCCCUUUCGUUUCCUUUUCUAUUUUUUUAAACAUGGAAUUCCCUUUCCCAGGCACCCCAAGGCAAGUUUUUAAAUUUUCAUAUGAAAUAAUUUAAGAAAUUCUCACUUAAUCUCCGUAUUUCUUUUAAUGGACGUUUCCUUUUUUAUGCACUCAUUAAAUUUUUAUUUUCAUAACAAUUUUUACGUAUAGUUGAUUUACAUUGCUGUGCCCAUUUCUGCUGUGCAGCAUAGUCAUAUACUGAUACACAUUAUUUUUUCCUACGGUCUUCCAUCAUUUUCUACCUCGAGAGUUGGGAUACUGUUCACUGUGCUGUACAGCAGGACCUCUCUGCUUAUCCAUUCUAAACAUAAUAGUUUGUUAAUAUGGUAGUUUUCCUCUUAUACACAAACCCUUUAAAAGAGACUGAUACCACACAAAAAUGUUGACUCUCAUUCGUCAGUAUCUGUAGGAUCCUUUCCACGAACAUGCAAAAUGCCUACUCAUUUACUGCUUAAUUAUAACAAACAUUUACAGUUUUAUUAAUAGUACUUCUUGGAGUUCCCGUCGUGGCUCAGUGGUUAACGAAUCCGACUAGGAACCAUGAGGUUGCGGGUUCGAUCCCUGGCCUUGCUCAGUGGGUUAAGGAUCUGCGUUGCCCUGAGCUAUGGUGUAGCUUGCGGACGGGGCUCAGAGCCUGCACUGCUGUGGACUCUGGCGUAGGCCAGCAGCUACAGCUCCAGUCAGACCCCUAGCCUGGGAACAUUCAUAUGCCGCGGGAGCAGCCCGAGAAAUGGCAAAAGCCAAAAAAAGAAAAAAAAAAUAGUGUUUCUUGUCCUACCACAUGUUUCAUACGACAAUCCUUCAGCUUCUUUUAUA
rnacentral:lncRNA from 9 species